CAGUAGCCGCGGUAAGACGAACUGUGCAAACGUUACUCGGAAUCACUGGGCUUAAAGCGCACGUAGGCGGCGACAUAAGUUAGAGGUGAAAUCCCAUCGGCUCAACCGUGGAACUGCCUCUAAUACUGUGUUGCUUGAGGGAGAACGGGGCAUUCGGAACUUCCGGUGGAGCGGUGAAAUGUGUUGAUAUCGGAAGGAACGCCGGUGGCGAAAGCGGAAUGCUGGGUAUCUUCUGACGCUGAGGUGCGAAAGCUAGGGUAGCGAACGGGAUUAGAGACCCGCGUAGUCCCUGUCUCUUAUA
rnacentral:rRNA from 1 species